UUGGUUGUGCACUUAUCGUUUUUAUCGAGAAACCAAGAUUCAUUUAUGUCUUUUACAAAAAGGGCAUACAAAAAGGGACGCAGUAGCUACUACGUCUACGUAGACGUGUCCAAAAAGAAUAUUAAAAAAUACUAGAAUUUUCAUCAGUACAUAUAGAAAAAAAAUCGAAUGUUGGAACUUCUAAGAGAAAUGAUUUCUUAUCUUGCGAAAAUCUAAAAGAAUAUUUUGACCAUUGUGAGUCAUUGAUUUUGUACAAUGAAUACUCUUAUGACCAAAAGCCUAAUCAUUAGGCUAAUGAGUCAUUGAAUUACUCAUUAGGCUAAUGAGUAUAAGCAUAACCCAACUUUAAAGGAAUGUUUUUCUAACCAAGUAAUUAUGCACUAAACAAGUGGAUUGACAAAGAAUAGCAACAAAUUUAUUGUCCCAAAAAAAAACUAUAAUCAUGCACUGAAAAACAACCUUUUGUCAACAAAAGAAUGGCACAAAUUUCCAUUGAUAAAGUGUAAGAUAACAGAUAGUCAGUAUCUAACUUGUUUUGUGUUUUUUUAAAGGUAACUUAAUUACUUUUUUGUAGCAAAAUAUUUUAUAAUUAGAUUCAUUUUCAUGUUGUGAAGAAUACAACUUUCUACAUCAGAUGAAAUAUAUGUUAAAGAAAGCAUUAAAAAUAAGAAUAACAAAUCAUACCGCUCUUCAUUGCCAGAACCUCCGCCACCUAUUAUGAAUAAGCCCAAUGCUAAAAAGUUGUUAUCAUAUUCAAAGAUUGAAGAAGAUAUUUUUUCUUCACAUUUUAUUGAUGAACAGAAUAAAACCAAGCAAAGUUCACAUUGUCAAAGAGUUUCAAGUUUUAAUAUGAGUAUUUUUGGUUUUUA